UAGCUCAGUUGGUAGAGUGCUUGCCUUGCAUGCACAAGGCUCUGGGUUCAAUCCCCAG
rfam:Ictidomys tridecemlineatus contig094868, whole genome shotgun sequence.